AAGAGUUGAUUUGUAUAAAAUGUCUAGUAGUGUUCGGGUCGUGAUCUUAUAGAGAUGAUGGAGCCAAGUAAGUAUUUGGAAGUUCCAUAACUUUCCAAAAGCUCAUCCCCAUUAACUGGUAAAAAUAAAUGUAUACACACAUAAUUAGGUAGUCUAUUUAAAUAGCCCCCGGGUAGUAGUGUGGAAACUCCGGAGGAUGACGACAUCUAAGACUACAUAAGCUGAAAGUGAAAGUAAAGAUGCCAGAAUGGAUCAGCACCUCUCCAAGGCGAGUUUGCAAAGAUCACAGAGGGCAUCAUGACGUCACACGGCUGUUUUCUCUGCCUGUUGCUUUUAAGUGUAAUCCUGAUCGAGCCAUCAGAAGCAGGUUGUAUGGACCACUUCACAAAAAAAGGAUUGAUGCCGAGAGGUCCAGCGUUUACAUUACCGACUAUUUCAAAGUGACAGCCUGAGGUGUUCUUCAGUAAAUUGGACUACCGGACAGGAGGACCUGAGGCCCCACCGCAUUAUUUUUGGUAAGUUAAAUGUGUUUGUAACUAAUCCGUAAUUUAGGUCCUUA